AUUAUAAAAUGUUUAAGUUAUGAUCAGAAUAAUAUAAAUAAUGAUAAUUUUCUGUUAUUUAUAAGAACAUUUUUAUUUUUCAUUUUAGAUUUAAAGACAGAUAUCAGUAUAAUUGAUAUAUGGUUAAAAAGAAAAAAAGAAAUAAAAAAGUUUUAUAUAGCUUUAUUUCAUAUACUAUCAAUAAAUUUAAACAAAAUUAACAGUAUACUGAAGAGUGUAAAAAAUGAAAAAAUAAAUAUUAGUGCUAUACAAAUUGGUUGUUCGCGUAUAAAAAUUGUAGAGAUACUGUUUGAUGUGUUAAUAAUGAUUUUUGAAAAAACAGAAGAAGCGAAAAAGUUUAUUACGCCAGAUAGUGAACAUGAUGGCAGUGGCCGUGACGGUAAUAGUAGUAGUAGUAGUAGUAGUAGUAGUAGUAGCGGCAUCAGUAGCAACAAUAAUAAUAGCAAUAAUGACAGUAACAAUUACAGCAAUAAUGACAGCAAUAAUGACAGCAAUAAUGAAAGCAGCUUGGUCAGUUUAUACGAACACAUGAACAACAUUCUUAUCCAAUUCGAAGUAAUACCAGAUAUCGAAAUAAAAAAAAAGAUGAUUCGCUUUUUUAAGUGUUUAAAUAAAUGCAUAACAGAAAAAAAAACUUGUUUUUUUUAUAACGAUAUGAUGAGUUUAAUAAAUAAAAAACGAAAUUUGUAUUUAACUUUAACAAAAGAAAAUAAUAUGAACAUAAGUUAUUUAAAACAAAAUUCAUAUAUAUAUAUUAGUAACAGUAUUCUUUUUUUAAAAACUUUUAAUACGUCAGUAAGUAAUGAAAAAGUGACAGAGUGUGAAAAAGAUAACAUUAAUAUAUCCAUUGAUGAUAAUGAUAGUGAUUGUCAUAAUGCUGAUUAUGAUGCCGAUCCGGAUGCUAACAUUUUAUUGUCACCAAAUGGUUAUAAAGGUAGUUUAUUAUUAAACUUUUUUUAUGCAUACUUUUAUAACUCCAAAAAUCAACUGUUAACCGUUUUGUCAUAUGAUCGAACAAAAAUAGAAGAUGGUGAUAAUUCCAAAACUGUGAAGUUUACGUUUAAAAAGGUGGAGGCAUUAGGCGUAUUGUCAAACAAGCUACGAACCCAAUUCGAACCGAGACUGCGUAAAAACGUCGAAAUAUCAAUGAUGUUUAGCUCCGAAUCAAUUAAGAACAAUGUUUGUGAAAUGAUAAAAAAUAUUAUGAGUAUUGAAAAUGAUAUAUCAUGUAAUGAUAAAGAAUAUAAAAAAAAUAUAGAAAGUAAUACAACUUAUCCAAAUAAAUUAAAAAAUGACAAUUUUAUAGAUGAACCUUUAAAUAAUUAUAUAAUAGGAGACGAUGAAAAUAAAAGUAAACAAAAACUUGAAAUAAGAAAAGUAAGUUUUGCUACAACUAAAGAAAUUUGUUUAUUAAAUAAAGACAAUUUGUCAGUACGUACUAAGACAUUAUUAUUAGAAGAGUCUCUUAACAAAAUGAAUGGUACAGAAUGUGUUGUUUUGGGUAAUGGAAAUAAUGACCUUGAAGUUGUACAUGUUAUUAAUGAUGAUAAUGAUAGUAACGUAAUCGAGACAGAUGAAUAUGAUUAUGGUGGAGAAAAUGAAAUAAUAAAUGAUGAAGUAUUAGCACUAACACAAAAAGAGUUAGCAGCAAAUUCGGAUUAUGAACUGAUAAUAAAAAAGAAGGAAGCAGCAGGAGAAAUAGGCGCACAUGGUGGUACAAAUGCAGAUGUAGGUGGAAGUGUAGAUACAUCUACAGCUACAGAUGUAGAAGAAAAAACAAAUAAUCAAAACAAUAAUACAACAUGUAUGGUACUCAAAGUCAGUUACGCAACAACUAAGGAUCUAUAUAAUGACAAUCGUACAAACAGUGAAGAAGAUAAUAUUAAUAGAGCAUUCAAAAGUAGUAGCCCUAUUGAAUAUAAUAAUGACAGUCAUAAAAAACAUGAUAGUUUAGUAGUAUAUAACAACAAAGAACAUAUAAAAAAAUUAAAAAGUUGUACAUUCCAUAUUGAUAAAACAUAUGACAUAAAAAAUAAUAGUGAUAAUACAUAUUUGGUUCACAAUACUGAUGCCGAUGUUGAUGUUGAUGUUGAUGUUGGUUCGGAAGAAAAAGUAAAACGAACAAUGCAUAAAAAUGGUUUAUCUAAUAUAAAUAAUGCGAUAAAUAUGGACACAGUUAAUUUAUUUAGUAGUGGUAAUACUAUCCAAACAUAUCAAGAUGUGAAUAACAAUGAUACUGCUCGUACUCGUCGGUAUGAGACUGCUGGUAACAGUAAAAUGGAUGGACACAUUAAUAAUACCACAUGUAUAAGCACAACUGGCAAUUCUAAUAAUAUAAGUAGCGAUAAUAAUAAUAUAGGUAGCGAUAAUAAUAAUAUAGGUAGAGAUAAUAAUAAUAAUAUAAGUAGCGAUAAUAAUAAUAUAAGUAGCGAUAAUAAUAAUAAUAUAAGUAGCGAUAAUAAUAAUAUAAGUAGCGAUAAUAAUAAUAAUAUAAGUAGCGAUAAUAAUAAUAUAAGUAGNNNNNNNNNNNNNNNNNNNNNNNNNNNNNNNNNNNNNNNNNNNNNNNNNNNNNNNNNNNNNNNNNNNNNNNNNNNNNNNNNNNNNNNNNNNNNNNNNNNNUAAUAAUAAUAUAAGUAGUGAUAAUAAUUUGAUUACAAAUAAUACUAUUAACAACAAUUGUAUUGUAAAUUUUGAAAAGGUUGAGUUUAAUAAACAAGAAAGUAACAUAGUUAAAUCUCCUCA
rnacentral:lncRNA from 1 species